GGACGGGUGAGUAACACGUGGACAAUCUGCCUUCCAGUCGGGGAUAGCACAUGGAAACAGGUGGUAAUACCGGAUGAGACGUCCGGGGCGCAGGCCCUGGAGGGGAAAGGAGCUACGGCUUCGCUGGGAGAUGAGUCCGCGGCCCAUUAGCUGGAUGGCGGGGUAAAGGCCCACCAUGGCGACGAUGGGUAGCCGGCCUGAGAGGGUGGACGGCCACAUUGGAACUGAGACACGGUCCAGACUCCUACGGGAGGCAGCAGCUAAGAAUCUUCCGCAAUGGGGGGAACCCUGACGGAGCGACGCCGCGUGAACGAAGAAGGCCGUGAGGUUGUAAAGUUCUUUUCGGGAGGGGGAAUAAGCCUGCCAGGGAAUGGGCGGGUGAUGACGUGAAUCCCGGAAUAAGCCCCGGCUAACUACGUGCCAGCAGCCGCGGUAACACGUAGGGGGCGAGCGUUGUUCGGAAUUAUUGGGCGUAAAG
rnacentral:rRNA from 1 species